UCUCAAAACCGUGAAAAUCGGCGAGACUUUAAAUCUUGAGGUCGCUGGUUCGAUCCCAGCUUGGGGGA
rnacentral:tRNA from 1 species